rnacentral:rRNA from 1 species
CCUACGGGUGGCUGCAGUCGAGGAUCUUCGGCAAUGGGCGCAAGCCUGACCGAGCGACGCCGCGUGUGCGAUGAAGGCCUUCGGGUUGUAAAGCACUGUCGAGGGGGAGGAAAGCCCGAAAGGGUCUGACCUAUCCCUGGAGGAAGCACGGGCUAAGUUCGUGCCAGCAGCCGCGGUAAGACGAACCGUGCGAACGUUGUUCGGAAUCACUGGGCUUAAAGGGCGCGUAGGCGGAUCAGCAAGUCCGGGGUGAAAUACUUCAGCUUAACUGGAGAAGUGCCUUGGAUACUGCUGGUCUCGAGGGAGGUAGGGGUUAUCGGAACUUCUGGUGGAGCGGUGAAAUGCGUUGAUAUCAGAAGGAACGCCGGUGGCGAAAGCGGAUAACUGGAUCUCUUCUGACGCUGAGGCGCGAAAGCUAGGGGAGCGAACGGGAUUAGAUA